AAACCUAUAGAUUCCUUCAGGGUAUGAUAAGGCCGGUAAAAAGUGGCGAACGAGAAGAGUCAGCGCGUGGGUAAUCAUACCCUGUAAGUGGGGGAUAACCCUCCGAAAGGAGGGGCUAAUACCGCAUAACAUCUACCCUUCAUAAGAAGGAGCGAUUAAAGAUGGCCUCUUUAUAUGCUAUCACUUCAGGAAGAGUCCGCGUCCUAUUAGUUAGUUGGUAGGGUAAUGGCCUACCAAAACCACAAAGGGUAGCCGGUCUGAGAGGAUGGUCAGCCACACUGGGACUGAGACACUGCCCAGGCUGCUACGGGAGGCAGC
rnacentral:rRNA from 1 species